CCUAUAAGCGCCAAAGCAGAGUCUAAAUCAUGCAUGACAGGACAUUCCCGUGUAAAUGCAUAAAUGUUUUGUGGUGAAACACAAUCGGCUUGAGCUCUGCGUGCCAUAACAGAAAUUCAUUACGUACUCCAAUGCCACGAGAGCACACAUGUACGUCACACAAGGAGCUCACAAAACUGGAAUGACUAGCCCAUGUAAAUGCCUCUGACAAGCUUCCAUUCAAAAUGUGGCGUCAGUCUGACAAGCACUAUUCUGCA
rnacentral:lncRNA from 1 species